GUCAACACUUUGCCCAAAUUUUAUCCACAUUUGAGUAAAAAUGUGUGCAAAAACUCAAUUUGGGUAGGAGCAUCUCCAAUGGCAAAGCCCAAUCUUUACCCAAAAAAGGUUUUCAAUAGCAACAUGGUGUGUAAGAAGGAUUAGAUUGAGCCUUGAAAAAAAGGCUAAAGGAAAUGGGUCAAGGCUUGGAUUUUCCCAUAAUGGGGUAGAGAAAUGGGCAAAACUCAUUUUGGGUAUAGAAAUGGGUAUAUGCCAUUGGAGAUGAGUUUGCUCCUUUUACCCAAAAAAGGGUUUAAGGGAAGAAAUGCGUCAUGAGUGGAGAUGCUAUAGAAUGUAAUGUCAAUCAACAGAAGAAAAAGAAUAGCAGAGACACAGUUUAUCAACAAACACGAAGCGAAUCAAAUCUGCAAGGAAAAAGGAGAAGAAGGUUGUCAAACAAUGGGCAGCUGUUGUAAUCCAGAACUCCCAGCCCACAUCGUAAUUGACAUCCUCUCAAGGCUCCCAAUGAAAUCCCUCUUCAAUUUCCGCCGUGUUUGCAAGGAAUGGCUCUCUCUCAUCUCUGACCCUCAUUUUGCCAAUCUACAUCUCUCUAAAUCACAGCUCAGUCUCUUGUUCAAACCCCUCGAUUGUAAACGCAGAUCGUGGAAACUCAAUUUGGUCGACCUCAAGACUACUCCCCUCAUUCGUCCUCGUAAUGCCCGUAAGGAAUUCGUCACCAAAAUUAACCUCCCAAAAGGCCCCAACAUCCCAUGCAACAUAGUUAACUCCUGCAAUGGAUUGCUGUGCUUGUCUGGCGACUCUAACUCUAACUCUGGCCCUUGCUCUGAUGACCUGAUUUGUAUAUGUAAUCCUCUUUUAGGCGAAUUAGUUACACUUCCUAAAUGUCCAAGUGUCCGCCCAAUUUCAGACCUUUCUUGUGUUGCUUUUGGUUAUAGCCCCAUGACUGACCAGUAUAAAGUGGUACAGUCCUUUCGGUCUUGGGUUACUGACCCUGUGAUGGAUCGGGAAACAUGUGAGGCUGAGAUAUAUACGCUUGGUGAAGGGUCAUGGAGAAGCAUAGGAAAAAUCUCCACCAUAGUUCAUAGUCACUCAUUUAACGCAUUCCUCAAUGGAUCGCUUCACUGGCUUUCUCAUGCACUCAGUGAAGACUUCAUUUAUUGUUUUGACUUUGGAAGUGAACAAUUUCGGGCAGUUCCUGAACCUUUUGAGUUUGGUCCGGUUCACAGAGAAUGCUCGGGUUAUAUGUAUCUGGGAGUGCUUCAAGGUUGUCUCUCUAUAUGUGAUUUUGGUGGGGGUGGUGUUGCUGAAGUAUGGGUGAUGAAGGAUUAUGGGGUAAUGGAAUCUUGGAGUAAAAACGUUGUCAUUGACGACUGUCGCGUCUGCUAUUAUGAGCCAAUAUUGAUUCUGGAGGGAGGGACAAAUCUUGAUAUUUGAACUUAAUGCGUAUUCUAUUGUGCUUUAUGAUCCCAGAUCGAAUUGCCUGAGGAACAUUCAUACUUUCGGAAAUAGUGGAACAUGCUUUUUUAGGCUUGCUCAUGUCCCUAGCUUGCUUUCACUCAUGAAUGUUGCAAAAGGAGAAAAUUUUAAGAAAUUCAACUGUUUGAAAGAAACGGGAUAUUCUUCAAAGAAAGACGGCUGAUAAACAGAUUAUGGUGGUGCUUCUAAGAGUGAACUAUCCAUCUGGGUAUUGUCACGCAGUCGCUGUUUUGAUCAAGUUAGGAUAACCAGCGUCGUAAUACUUGCACGUAUUUGUUUCCUUCGAUUUGUGUUUUGGUUCUCUGGGUCUGUUUCUCUGUUCUGUAUCUUAUGUCUUUGUGGCAUCUCUAUUCAAAAACUUAAAGGGACGACUUCGCUUUGAUCUCCUCUUAGUUGGGCUUAGUGUGGAUUGUUGUCUUGAUAUCGUAGAGAAAGUUAAUUAUCAUGGUGUUGGAUGUCGGACCGAAUCAGUUGCUUGUAUAUACCAAGCUUCGUCUCUCUGCCAUGGAUGCCACGAAAUGGUGCGGGUAAAUGUCUAGAUUUCAACGA